CUUUGUAUUUUUUCUUGUAUAUCCAAGAAUCACUCAGAUUGGUUUUGUAGAACGGGUAUGCCAUUGUGGUGAAGUUUUGACCGGCCAGAUACUAGGCGCUAACCCAAAAUAGUUCCAGAGAAAUAGUUGUCCUGGCCGGUGUCUGUUUGUAAGGUUCCUGUGCGAACACCAUGCAAGGGAAUCUCCAGCUUACAGGGUCCCAAUGCUCCCCCUGUUCGGUAGUGUAUAUCUCCCAAAUGCCAUUUGUGUAGGUGUUCAGGAACAGGAACGGGCAGCGGUCUAUAGUUUACCGGUGUUCACGUGAGUGCUUGGUCGAAAAGAGUUCCAGGCACUCAACGACUAAGUACUGCUGCCCCUCGUUCAGGAGACAAGAUGGCAGCCAUUCUCUCUGUAACGUGUUCGGUUAUACGACAUGGCGGUCACCCAGGGAAAGCACUCAAUUGUUUUCAAACUUAAGUGGCUGGUGUCAAUGUUCUAAUGGUGCACAGGGGUGGUCCUCGUUUGGGAGACAAAUGGAUUCUGUUCGUAUGAAGUCUCCCGAACCACACAAAAUAACAGGGGAAAAGACAUAGUACUGUAAGGGGGGAGGGAGUACGACCAGCCAGUAAAGGGAAUAAAAGUAGCUGGUAAAUGUCUAUUCUGUCACAGUAAGGUUGUGAUACUAUAAUUCUACUCUGUGUGGGGUAACCCAAGAUGCCCGGAUAUAAAAUGUUGGUGGUGGCAGUAAAGUGUGUACUAGGGUGUUAGUGAAGAAGGCAUUGCAGGGGUUAAUUUGGGGUUGCUGGGACUAGCAACAGGUAACCAGGGGUCUAUUGUCGUUAACCCUUUCACUUCGACACUCUGCCCACUGUCUCGGCUGGGCCAAUGGCACACGUUCGUGACACCAACAAAGCUUCUUUACUUAUCCUUCUUAUAUUGCUAAUCUUAAGCUAUCUCGCUAUCUGCUUUGAGGUUAGCUUUGAAUUUAGAUUCACAUAUACACCUUCUAUCUAGCCUGUUGACAAAUCCUGACAAGUUCACCCUAAAAACAUUGCUUGCAUGCAUCCGCCCCUUUCUUACACAAGACGCUACUAAGGAGUCUGUUCACCCAUUUUGUCAUUGUUUUUGCAUCAACCACUAUUCUAAUACUGUUGCUCUACAGUCCUAAAUAACAGCCUUAUUUUUCUCUCGUCACUUCUAUUACAUCUCAAC